CCUACGGGGUGCAGCAGUAGGGAAUAUUGCUCAAUGGGGGAAACCCUGAAGCAGCAACGCCGCGUGGAGGAUGACGGUCUUCGGAUUGUAAACUCCUUUUGUUAGAGAAGAUAAUGACGGUAUCUAACGAAUAAGCACCGGCUAACUCCGUGCCAGCAGCCGCGGUAAUACGGAGGGAGCAAGCGUUACUCGGAAUCACUGGGCGUAAAGAGCGCGUAGGCGGGAUAGCAAGUCAGAUGUGAAAUCCUAUGGCUUAACCAUAGAAUUGCAUUUGAAACUGUUAUUCUAGAGUAUGGGAGAGGUAGGUGGAAUUCGUGGUGUAGGGGUAAAAUGCGUAGAGAUCAAGAGGAAUACUCAUUGCGAAGGCGACCUGCUAGAACAUAACUGACGCUGAUGCGCGAAAGCGUGGGGAGCAAACAGGAUUAGAUACCCCAGUAGUC
rnacentral:rRNA from 1 species